rnacentral:ncRNA from 1 species
AAUGAGUUGGUUAGACGCUUUUCAUUAUAGGUCAUAUGGGGCUUUUUUCUACAAGAAACGACCCUAUAAUUCCUGGGGUGGGAUUACCCACUACAGAAAUUAUAGAGCC